UGAGAGAUGGCCCCCAUCCAGGAAGGCGCAGGCGCGAAAAUUACCCACUUCCGGCGCGGAGAGGUAGUGACUAGUCAUAACAAAUAUAGACCCUAGUGGUUUGUAUUUGGACUGGUGAGAUGUUAUAAAUAUCUCAGUAAUCUAGAUCAGGGCAAGUCUGGUGCCAGCAGCCGCGGUAAUACCAGCCUGAUCAAGCGUAUGCUUUAGUUGCUGCGUUUAAAAAGCUCGUAGUUGGAUCUUCGAGAGCGUGAUCAUCAAAGGGCGUAGUUCGGUUACGGUCGUUCUAUUCCUGGUCACGGACUUUCAAUAUACUUGGAAGACAGUUUAUUCUUAACUGAAUAGACUGAUCGAAAACAAGUGAUAAACCUUGAAAAAAUUAGAGUGCUCAAAGCAAGCUUUGGCCUUGAAUUUUAAAGCAUGGAAUUGAGGAAGAGGACCAUUAUGGUCGUGAACCAUUUUGGUAAUGAUUGAAAGGAACAGACGGGGGCAUACGUAUUGCUCGGGGAGGGGUGAAAUCCGUAGAUCCCAGCAAGACGACCUACUGCGAAAGCAUUUGCCAAGAAUGUUUUCAUUAAUCAAGAACGAAAGUUAGAGUAUUAAAGAGGAUUAGAUACCCUCGUAAUUCUAACCUUAAACGAUACCAUCUUAAUCUUAGCCAAUGUAAUUUAUUACUUGGUUAGGAUUAAACCGGGAAACCAAAGCCAUUUGGUUCCGGGGGGAGUAUGGGUUGCAAAAUCGAAACUUAAAGGAAUUGACGGAGGGGCACCACCCGGGAGGGGAGCCUGCGGCCUUAAUUUGACUCA
rnacentral:rRNA from 1 species